GCGUCCGUAGUCUAGGGGUAUGAUAGGUCCCUGCCACGGACCAGGCCGGGGUUCGAGUCCCCGCGGACGCA
rfam:Monoraphidium neglectum strain SAG 48.87 unplaced genomic scaffold scaffold00209, whole genome shotgun sequence.